ensembl:lncRNA
AUGUGGAAUAAAGCGAAACGUUCUCACCAAAUUGCGGCCCCGCAGGACCAUUAUUUGUACAGGAAGCGACAUUUUUAUGAAUUUACUUCGUCAGCGGCCCCUCGGCUGCGUCGGUCCGUUGCCGCGGCAACCAGCUCCCCGUUCUCGCGAGAUUUGGCAGCGCGUCCCAACAUGGCGCCCGGCGCGGCCGUGGACGCGGUGCUGGAGCUGCGGGGCCGGUGCGGGGAGGACGAGGCCCGGAUCGCCGCCAGCGUCCGGCGCUGCAGGCAGCUGCUGCGCGGCAGGGAGACGCGCCUGGUGGAAGCAGCGAGCGCCUCGGAGGAACCGGGCCCGGCGGAGGAUCUUCCUCCUGAGGAGCUCCAAGAUCUCCAUCUGCUGGACCGACUGCUGGAGAAGGCCAUGCGGGUUCGCAGCGGUGUCACCAGGCUGGGCGUGGCCGGUCCUCCAUCCAGGGAGCGGACCCGGGCGGCGACCCUGCAGCCACCUGCAGCUCCGUGUCCUCCAUCCAGCCUCAUCGGUGGACCUUCAUCAGUGGUCAGGAAGUCGUCGUCUUCAGCUGGAGCUGCCACCAGGCUGGGCGUGGCCGGUCCUCCAUCCAGGGAGCAGGUGGCGAAGAUGAACCGAACCCGGGCGAUGACUCUGCAGCCACCUGCAGCUCCGUCUCAUCCAUCCAGCCUCAGCAAUGGACCUUCAUCAGUGAGGAGGACAUUGUCAUCGUCAGCUGGAGCUGCCACCAGGCCGGGCGUGGCCGGUCCUACAUCCAGGGAGCGGGUGGCGAAGAUGAACCAAACCCGGGCGGUGACCCUGCAGCCACCUGCAGCUCCGUGUCCUCCAUCCAGCCUCAGCAGUGGACCUUCAUCAGUGAGGAAGUCGUCGUCUUCAGCUGGAGCUGCCACCAGGCCGGGCGUGGCCAGUCCUCCAUCCAGGGAGCGGGUGGCGAAGACGAGCCAGAGCCAGGCGACGACAUUGCAGCCGCCUGCAGCUCCGUCUUGUCCAUUCAGCCUCAGCGAUGGACCUUCAUCAGUGAGGAGGACAUCGUCGUCUUCAGUUCCUCUCUGCAGUGCUCCGCCUUCGCCAGCCUGGGCCGCACCGAUCGCCCGGCAGGACAGGUUGUGGGACGAGGUCGUGUCCCGGCAGCACCAGUCGGUUCCAGAGCGGAGACGCUUCGUUAAGAAGCUGCAGGUCCUGCUUCCAGCUCCUCCCCUGGUCCCCGCGGACGCCCGGUGCGAGGCGGUCCGGCUGGCCCGGCUGGGCGGAGCUCUGAGGCGCUGCUACCACGCGGAGCUGAGCAUGAUGGGAGUGCGGCCGGGCGAAUCGGACGCGAUGCUGGAGCGGCUGGAGAAGAUGAUGGUGGACGUUUGUGCAGAAGCGGCGCAGCUCAGAACCGAGCUGAACGCCGUGGACGAGUCUGUGUCUAGAGGGAUGUGUCCCGUCAGGAGGGCGGGCUGGGGCGGUCAGGUGAAGCCCCGCCUCCUUCCUGCUUUGAUCUACCGCAGCCAAUCGGAGCUCCAGGAGGUGGAGCUGCUGCGCAUGAGGGUGGAGCUCCUGGAGCAGGAGCUGCACCUGCAGCAGGUCCUCUCUGAAGCCCUAAGCCCCGCCCAGUCGCCUCCGUCCUCUCUGAGCGCCGCCCGUCUGCGGGGCCUUUACUCCCUGCUUGCUGAAGGCGGGUCCCGCUUUCCUUCUCUGGUGCUGGACUCCAGGCCGCAUAUCCCAUAAUCCCCGGCGUCAUGUGAUCCACCGCCUCGCUGUGCUGAAUAAAGGAUUAAACGACUGCUUGUGUUUUGUGGCGUCAGAGCUGCCUUGUGCAGUGCGUCUCGGUGCAUUGUGGGUGUUUGGCAGCGUGCCGGGGUGGGCGGAUGUGGAACUUUUCACCUUCAGGUGCGAGUCGCUGAGUAAGAGCCUGAGGAGGCGGAUCCUGUGAUAACGGCCGCGAGGGGAGGCGGAGCUAUCUUCGCGCCGGAGGGCCGUGCCCACACAGCCAGUGAGUCACGCUGCUCUGUGUGGAGGAGUGUGUGAACUCGGCGCCACCUGUUGGACAGUCUGGACCCGCCCACACACACCGGUUCUCCCGUCAGGGUGCAGAACGGAGAGGCCUGAACUGCUGUAUUUAGACCCUGAAAAUGGUUCUAGAUGUUGCCAUGGAGCUUCAUCAUGAUAUUCUCAAAUCCAUGUGUAAACUGGAACUCUCGUUUCGGUUAUACGCCAGUGACCUUUAACCCC